rnacentral:tRNA from 2 species
AGCUUUAUAGUUUAAAAAAAACAUUAAUUUUGUAAAUUAAAGAUAUUAAUAAAUUAAUUUAAGCUA